AAAGCGCUCUCCACUCCAACUCGCGACCCGCGUCGUCUCCCUGAUGCUCGGGGGAGAACCCUAGCCGCCGCUCCUGCCUUCCCCUCCUCCUCACGGGCGGAUUCUUGGUCGGGGGAGGCGCGGGACCGAUGGCGAAUGUGAGCUCUCCUCACUGGCGGCGGCAACCUAGCUAGGAGGCCCCCGGUGCCGUGGCCUGUGCCUCUGCGCGCCCGGCCGAUUGCUGUCCUUGGAGGCGCACACCACUGCGCAGCAGCGCGCCAAGCGGACCCUAUUAGCCGGACUGUUGCAGCCGCCCAGUCUGCCCAGGGGCUCCGGUGCCGUGGCCUGCCUCUGCCCGCCCGCCUGGCUGCUGUCACACAUGCGCGCACCACCGGCCAGCAGCGCGCCGAGCCGCCACUCUUUGCUAGACUGCUGGAGCCUCCCAGUCCGCUCAGGCGCGCUGCUGCGGCUGUGCCCGUUGCCUUCUUUCGAGAGACGUACCUCAUGCCCUGAUCCCCCAUUCCCCCAUGGGUGCUCACUUUCUCUGAAUCUCUGGUUUAGAUAAAUUUACAUCGAAUUUGACAAGAUUUUUGGUACAAAUCUGAAUUUGUCUAGACCCGGAAGCUCCUCCUGUUCUUCACCCUACUUCGAUUCAGUGGAGUCUCGAGACUGCAGGCAUGCGGCAGCCCCGGUUUCACAGGAGUCAGGCAGCCAUGUGCACGUCAACAGCGGCGCGUACAGCCGGUGGACGCUUGGGUCGUUCGUCAAUAGUGAAUCCCAUAACCAAUCUUCAAACAUGAUGAAACCAUAUCCAGGUAAAAAAUAGGUGUUUUGUGAAUUUUCAUGUGUUUAUUGCACCUCAACUUUUCUUAAUUGCUCAUUGGUGUGUAGUGAUGCACUAUGAAGUAAGUUAUCCGCCCCCCACAAAGACCCGUCAAACCUGCAAAGGUAGUUUCACCGCCGAAACCACAUUUUUUUUCUACCAUAUGCACUAAAAUGUUUUGCAUUUCCCUUGGCUUCAGACCCUUGGUUAGUGGUUCAUGAUUCGUUCGGCUGCUGAUGUUCUGAAAAGACCAUUGGUCAUUACUCAUUAGGUGUUGUCUCCAUUGCUAUUUUACUGUAUGAUAAAAUAAUUAUGGAUGUUUCUUACAAAUACUUGGUCAUUAGGUGUCACGGUUCUUAAUUUACUGUUUGGAAGUGACCAUGGAUACUAAAAUUAUCAUCAAGCGUUGUUUUCAUUCUUUAUUGUUCAUAUGAAACCCACCAGCCUUUUCUGAUUUCCGAAAGUUUAUGAUGAUUUUGGGCAUACCAAGCUAAAAGAAGAUAUCUUGCAAGUAAGUUUGAUAUAUUCGCGAUACAUCUUGAUAUAUAUGAUAUUCUUGCUGCUUUUAGGAUGACAGUGUGGACUUGGGCUUUUUGGAUGGAACAAAGAGUUGACCGAAACCGACACCAUUUAUUAUUAUGGAUGUAUGAGCCAUCUUACUGUAGGCGGUGGACCUUUUCUCGGAAGCACAACUUACUUUAUUUUAUGAUUUAUGUGUGUGUGUAAUCUCCAAUUUCGUUUGCAGGUAUACCAUUACUCUUCUCACGGUCUUGCAGAUGCACCACAUGUAGCUUUUCAGCCUUGCAAUUUAGAGAUUUUGAUUGAUACAUGCAUAUUGUUGGGCAGCCGCUCCUGAUCUGUUGUUGGGUGGCUGGCAUCCUUCAUGUUCUUGCCCAAAUUCAGAUUGGGGUGGUUUGGUUGUGGUGAUCAAGAUCAGGUCGGCCGAUGGUGGUAGUUGCAAACCUGUAGUGGCCCACCAUGGCUCCACGAUGUUGAAGGUCAGAUGCGGCGGGGUUCAUCCCUCCAGAUCUAAUGGUUGACUUCAGCAUGAGAUGUAGACUAAGAACGACCACUUGACGCAGAGGGAUGGUUAUGUGUAGCGGUGGCGGUUGCAAAUCUCAUGCAGCUACUGGGAUCAUGGAGAAGUCCUGGCAAUAACACAUGAGAGGCCCAGAUGAUGGUGAUACUUGUGCAUCCGGUCUCGAGUUUCGGGGUGAAGAGUCUAGGUCUGACCCAAGGUCGUCAUACCUAGCAAUGGCGGGGUGCAGACUAAGAACGACCACUUGACGCAGAGGGAUGGUUGUCUCAAAAGAAUGACAUGAUGUGGUCUCCACUCCGUGGGGUAGGGCUAGCUUGGGCUUCAAGCCUGGGAUCAAGCAUGCAAACCCGUCGACGAUAUUCCAGAGGAAUGAAGCAAGAGCUGCAUGUGCUUGUUCUCUUGGGCCUUUUUUUGCCAAAUAGCAUAAGUAACCACUCUUAGUCACUACAUAUUCAUUGGCAUUUAACAUGGUUCCUUCUUUC